rnacentral:rRNA from 1 species
AGGGUUUGAUCCUGGCUCAGAACGUACGCUGGCGGCACGCCUAACACAUGCAAGUCGAACGAAGUAGCAAUACUUAGUGGCAGACGGGUGAGUAACAUGUAGGUAUCUGCCCUUUGGCCUGGAAUAACACGAGGAAACUUGUGCUAAUACCGGAUAAGUCUUUACGGAGAAAGCUUUAUGCACCAUUGGAUGAGCCUGCACUUGAUUAGUUUGUUGGUGGGGUAAUGGCCUACCAAGACUGUGAUCAAUAGCUGAUUUGAGAGGAUGAUCAGCCACAUUGGGACUGAGACACGGCCCAAACUCCUACGGGAGGCAGCAGUGGGGAAUCUUGCACAAUGGAGGAAACUCUGAUGCAGCGAUGCCGCGUGAGUGAAGAAGGCCCUUGGGUUGUAAAGCUCUUUCGUCGGGGAAGAAAAUGACUGUACCCGAAUAAGAAGGUCCGGCUAACUUCGUGCCAGCAGCCGCGGUAAUACGAAGGGACCUAGCGUAGUUCGGAAUUACUGGGCUUAAAGAGUUCGUAGGUGGUUGAAAAAGUUAGUGGUGAAAUCCCAGAGCUUAACUCUGGAACUGCCAUUAAAACUUUUCAGCUAGAGUAUGAUAGAGGAAAGCAGAAUUUCUAGUGUAGAGGUGAAAUUCGUAGAUAUUAGAAAGAAUACCAAUUGCGAAGGCAGCUUUCUGGAUCAUUACUGACACUGAGGAACGAAAGCAUGGGUAGCGAAGAGGAUUAGAUACCCUCGUAGUCCAUGCCGUAAACGAUGUGUGUUAGACGUUGGAAAUUUAUUUUCAGUGUCGCAGGGAAACCGAUAAACACACCGCCUGGGGAGUACGACCGCAAGGUUAAAACUCAAAUGAAUUGACGGGGACCCGCACAAGUAGUGGAGCAUGUGGUUUAAUUCGAAGAUACGCGCAGAACCUUACCAACACUUGACAUGUUCGUCGCGACUCUAAGAGAUUAGAGUUUUCGGUUCGGCCGGACGAAACACAGGUGCUGCAUGGCUGUCGUCAGCUCGUGUCGUGAGAUGUUGGGUUAAGUCCCGCAACGAGCGCAACCCUCACUUUUAGUUGCCAUCAUUAAGUUGGGCACUCUGAAAGAACUGCCAGUGAUAAGCUGGAGGAAGGUGGGGAUGACGUCAAGUCCUCAUGGCCCUUACGUGUUGGGCUACACACGUGCUACAAUGGUAUCUACAACAGGAAGCAAGACUGCGAAGUUAAGCAAAUCCCUAAAAGAUACCUCAGUUCGGAUUGCACUCUGCAACUCGAGUGCAUGAAGCUGGAAUUACUAGUAAUCGUGGAUCAGCGUGCCACGGUGAAUGCGUUCCCGGGUCUUGUACACACCGCCCGUCACACCAUGGGAGUUGGUUCUACCUUAAGGCAAGGUUUCAAACCCUUGACCACGGUAUAGUCAGCGACUGGGGUGAAGUCGUAACAAGGUAGCCGUA